AGGACGAACGCUGGCGGCGUGCCUAACACAUGCAAGUCGAACGGAGCGAAAGAAGCUUGCUUCUGGCGCUUAGUGGCGGACGGGUGAGUAACACGUGAGCAACCUGCCUUUCAGAGGGGAAUAAUGUCUGGAAACGGACACUAAUACCACAUGACAUACAUUUGCCGCAUGACAGAUGUAUCAAAGGAGCAAUCCGCUGAAAGAUGGGCUCGCGUCUGAUUAGCCAGUUGGCGGGGUAACGGCCCACCAAAGCGACGAUCAGUAGCCGGACUGAGAGGUUGAACGGCCACAUUGGGACUGAGACACGGCCCAGACUCCUACGGGAGGCAGCAGUGGGGAAUAUUGCACAAUGGGCGCAAGCCUGAUGCCAGCAACGCCGCGUGAGGGAAGACGGUUUUCGGAUUGUAACCUCUGUUCUUAGUGACGAAGAAGUGACGGUAGCUAAGGAGCAAGCCACGGCUAACUACGUGCCAGCCGCAGC
rnacentral:rRNA from 1 species